CAAAGAGCAAGAAGAAAAAGAAGAAGCAGUCUCAAAAGUUAAUUUUCCUCGUUCAAUGUGGGUUCGGAAAGUGGUUUUCACUGGUCGCGCCGUGGGUUUGUCGUCGUGUCAUCCAUAAAAGUUUUCAAUAAAUCGCGAGUGAUUUUCGGGAAAAAGGAAAAUUCGGGUGGAUUAUUGAGCUAAAUUGCGAUUUGCGGGAAGAAUUUCGAUCGUGCGAGCUCUUGCAAGCCGGAACUCAUCCGUGGCCACCGAGAGUGCGUGGUCCUCCGCGUAAAUUACGUAGUGGAAGCGAUUAUCUUCCGCUAAAUAAACAUAAAAUAAAUUUGCUAGAUUUGACUUCGAUAACUUCUUGUGACAGUGAAAAGUUUUUUUUUUUCAAAACAAAAAGUGCAUUUGAGUGAAGUGCUUCGAAGAUCGAUUGUCUACAAGGUUUUUUUUGGAAUAUCCAUCCGGUGAAGAUUAGCGCAGCGAAUCGAGAUAUCAUCUUUUAACCGAAAUUGACUAAAUCUGUUUGGAUUACCAAUACUAAAAUAUCGAUUCGCAAUCGCGACAUCCUCCCCCCGUCAGCUACGUGACACGACACAACCCACGGGAUUGGCCAGGAAAACCGGCUUGGCGCCAGUGUCCACUUUCGGUUCCGGUCCCCACUUGUGAAAGGGAAAAGUUUAACCAAAACCCAGAAAAAAAAACUAUCGCAGUAGGCGCGCGUGACAACUGCCAAACCCCCCCAGUGUGAAGCGAGAAAAAAGAAGAAGCAGCAGCCUGUCUGUGUGUCAAACUAAGACGAAGAAUAUUCGCGUUUGAGCCAGAACCAGUAUUGUUCCGGAUUCCGACCGGAUUAGCAGCGGGAGCAGCAGCAAAUUUGAAGUGUGCAAUCAAAAAAUCAAAAAAAGACACGGAAAAUAGAGAAAAAAAAUCCGUUAAAGUUUAGUGUGAACCGUUUCGUUUUUUUAGUUAUCUAGUUUUUCGUUUUAUCAAAUUGAAAUUGAAUAGUUUUAUACGAAACCCGCCCUCGGAAAAAAAACCCGUUGUGACCGCGAGCACGUGCGCGGUGUGAUUGAGGUCCGGUAGCAUCGGACCGGUCCGGCAGAAGAGGCUCGCCGUCGACUGACAGGGUCGAGCAGGAAGGAGGAAAUCAGCAAAAAAAAACAAACA